GAGGCACUAGCACAGUGGUAGUUGCGAAAGAUUGCAAAUCUUUAGGUCGCCAGUUCGAUCCUGGCGUGUCUCU
rfam:Trichosporon oleaginosus strain IBC0246 unplaced genomic scaffold CC85scaffold_15, whole genome shotgun sequence.